AGCUUCUUGUGGUCUUUCCCAACAUUAUCUUCUGUUGGAUACUUUACCAUCAGACCAACAUUUCGUUUCUUCUCCGCUUCAGUCUGUAUUUUCAAUUUCAUUACCUUCUUCCUCAACAUCCCCCUUUUCUGGGUCCUUGUCACCUUUGAUGAUUUCUGUUAUGCUGAUGUCUCUCCUACAGCCUCCUUCUCAGGUCUCGAUUUCUU
rnacentral:misc_RNA from 1 species